rnacentral:sRNA from 1 species
AUUAAUUUACAACAAGUAUAUUGUUCUGCAUUGAACCUUCGCCAUCAAUUGGGUACUCCAGUGACAGCCUCCACUCUCCAUCAACCAAGAAUUUGAUCUCAUACCUUCCAGGUCUAAGAUUCAGAGUUGCAGAGAAUCUUGCUUGGUAACCUGAAUACUCCAUGGACAUUGCCUCUCCCUGGGACCAGCCAUCGAAGGAGCCCAUAAUUUGUACAUUCUGAUGUGCAGACAAAAAACCAAUGAAGAACAAUAGAG